GUCAGGCUAGCCUGCGCUCUGGGCUUCAAGUUCCUGGGUUUCUGCGAUCGCUUUUUGCAACCAGACAACUUUCCCCGCUCACUACAGCAGCUUCAAGUGACCUCCUGAGAACGAAUCCCUCUCCCAAUGGUGCUGGCCUGUACCACCACUCCACUCACACAUAACUGACCUCUGGAGGACUAAAAGGCUGAUAAACAAGCCUGGGGGCCUUCAAGCCCGGAAGAAGGUGCUAUGAAGGCCAGAGUCCAGGGACCGUAUUCAUGUUACCCAGCUGCCGACCCCUGUCCUGGCAGGUAUCGAUUGCUUCUUACCCUGGGAACCUUCGCUGAUUUGAGAUGAUGGGAAGCUAUGGUGAAGAAUAAAAUCAAUGUUCUCAGCACGUCUAGCCUGAUUGACACUAUGCACCAUCAUAUCCGUCAUGGAGACGAAGAUUUUGUUAUUGAAGAAUCAAGAAUAGAAAGACAUGUGUCUCUACCAAGUACUUAAGUGGUAUCAGUCGGGCGGUGGUGGCGCACGCCUUUAAUCCCAGCACUCAGGAGGCAGAGGCAGAGGCAGGCAGAUCUCUGUGAGUUCAAGGCCAGCCUGAGCUACAGAGUGAGUUCCAGGACAGGCUCCAAAGCUACACAGAGAAACCCUGUCUCGAAAAACCAAAGAAGGAGGAGGAGGAGGAGGAGAAGAAGAAGAAGAAGAAGAAAUCAAGAAAUUUCUUUUGAAUUUUCCAGUGUUGUGGAGUACAGGUUUUUGAAGUAUGACCUAUUGAUUCCCUGGAUUUCCUCAGUGUCGUUAUGCCCUUCUUCUCAUUGCUGAUUUUGUUAAUUUGGAUAUUCUCACUCUGCUUGUUAGUUAGUUUGGAUAAGGGUUUGUCUGUCUUGUUGAUUUUCUUAAAGAACUAAGAAGUAAAUACAUAAUAGAAAUUAAGCACUAGGGUUGGGGGAUUUUCAAAAACUGGUUUGUUGAGUUCUUUGGGCUGGCAAAGACUCCUUCCUGUUGGCUGUGACAGCUGCAGAUAGGUCAUUCUCUUGGAGGGGGACACUGUGGGUGAGCUGCUGAGGAGGGAGGGUUGGAGGGCAGUGUCAAAAGCUACUGCAGGCACAUGCCCUGCCUGCCCUCAGCCUUAGUCACUCUAAAAGUUAGUAAGCUGGGCACAGUGGAGCACCCCGGGGGUCCCAGCUAUUCAGGAAGCUGAGACAGAAAUCACUCACUGGAGAGUCUGAGAGUAGCCUGGGCAGCAUUGCAAGACUCCGCCUUAAGAAACAAAACCAAACCAAAACUUGGCUAGGCCAGAACCAAAACAUAGUAGAACAAAAGGUUAUAUAGUGCUGGAAUAAACAAGGAAGCAGUCCAAACUAAUAAAAGAGACAUACAAAAGAGCACAUGGCUGGCUAUUGGAAGAGGAAGGUAGCACCCAGCACCCCCAACUAUACCAUCAAUCCCCCCUUUUAACUGGACAUAUAAAAUUAUAAGUAAGAGAAAGAGCAGACUCAGCCAGGGGGUUCUGAGAGGUGCCCACCAACACUUGCUCUCCUAGUGUGCACUGGGAAUUUUCCUGCUCCAUCAAGAUGAGGAGGCUGAGUUGGGGGUGUGGCUCAGUGACAGAACUCAUGCCUAGCAUAAGUUCUAUCCCCCCAUACACCUAGCCCUCUAAAAAGAUGAGGAUCCUCUAAAAGUCUGGGUUGACCUUCUAGCUUUACUCCAUAGGACCUGGCAGAAGUGAUGCUUUGACAGUUUCUGGCCAGACCCCGAGGCCUUGGCAGCCCUGAGUAUGGCCUUUUUGUUUCCCAGCCGCCAUGCUGUGAGGGAACUGGCCCUGUCUUCUGGAGGCGGCGGGCCCACGAGAGAAUGGAAUUAUACUAGACCAUAGCCAGGACCAGCUUUGGACAGAGGUGCAUCUGCCUUGGACGCUCUAUACCAGGUCUGAGGACCUCACCCUCAGCACAAAAGAUCUUCCUAGUGAUUUGCAAGGUUGGAAGAAAUCUCAAACAGCCUUAACUUUCUUACUCAGUCAUAGCUAGCUGACACAAGAACUACUCCUUGUGGUGAUAUUUUACUUGUGCUGAAUUGUGGUGUUAUUUUAUUUGUAUGUUGAUAAAUAAAGUUUGCCUGGA